UGGGGAAUAUUGCACAAUGGGGGAAACCCUGAUGCAGCGACGCCGCGUGAACGAAGAAGGUAUUCGUAUCGUAAAGUUCUGUCCUAUGGGAAGAUAAUGACAGUACCAUAGAAGAAAGCUCCGGCUAAAUACGUGCCAGCAGCCGCGGUAAUACGUAUGGAGCGAGCGUUGUCCGGAAUUAUUGGGCGUAAAGGGUACGCGGGCGGUUUAAUAAGUCGAAUGUUAAAGAUCGGGGCUCAACCCCGCAAAGCAUUGGAAACUGAUAAACUUGAGUAGUGGAGAGGAAAGUGGAAUUCCUAGUGUAGUGGUGAAAUACGUAGAUAUUAGGAGGAAUACCAGUAGCGAAGGCGACUUUCUGGACACAAACUGACGCUGAGGUACGAAAGCGUGGGGAGCAAACAGG
rnacentral:rRNA from 1 species